rnacentral:rRNA from 1 species
AGUGGCGGACGGGUGAGUAACGCGUGAGAAUCUGCCUUGGGGUCGGGGACAACCACUGGAAACGGUGGCUAAUACCGGAUAAGCCGAUUGUGAAAGAUUUAUUGCCCGAAGAGGAGCUCGCGUCUGAUUAGCUAGUUGGUGAGGUAAGAGCUCACCAAGGCAGCGAUCAGUAGCUGGUCUGAGAGGACGAUCAGCCACACUGGGACUGAGACACGGCCCAGACUCCUACGGGAGGCAGCAGUGGGGAAUUUUCCGCAAUGGGCGAAAGCCUGACGGAGCAAGACCGCGUGAGGGAGGAAGGCUCUUGGGUUGUAAACCUCUUUUCUCAGGGAAGAAGCUCUGACGGUACCUGAGGAAUCAGCCUCGGCUAACUCCGUGCCAGCAGCCGCGGUAAUACGGAGGAGGCAAGCGUUAUCCGGAAUUAUUGGGCGUAAAGCGUCCGCAGGUGGCGAUUCAAGUCUGCUGUCAAAGCACGGGGCUUAACUCCGUAAAGGCAGUGGAAACUGAAUAGCUAGAGUGCCGUAGGGGUAGAGGGAAUUCCCGGUGUAGCGGUGAAAUGCGUAGAGAUCGGGAAGAACAUCGGUGGCGAAAGCGCUCUACUGGACGGCAACUGACACUCAGGGACGAAAGCUAGGGGAGCGAAUGGGAUUAGAUACCCC